rnacentral:tRNA from 2 species
GCGGUUGUCAUAUAACGGCUAUUAUCCGGGCUUCCCAAGCCCGAGACGCGGGUCCGACUCCCGUCAACCGCU